CUGGGAGAUGAGAAAGGACAGUAUCCCAGGAAUAAGUCUCGGCUAACUACGUGCCAGCAGCCGCGGUAAAACGUAGGAGGCGAGCGUUAUCCGGAUUCACUGGGCGUAAAGCGCGUGCAGGUGGCGCGGUAAGUUGGGCGUGAAAUCUCCCGGCUCAACUGGGAGAGGUCGUCCAAUACUACCGUGCUUGAGAGCAGAAGAGGAAGAUGGAAUUCCCGGUGUAGUGGUGAAAUGCGUAGAUAUCGGGAGGAACACCAGUGGCGAAGGCGAUCUUCUGGUCUGUUUCUGACACUCAGACGCGACAGCUAGGGUAGUAAACGGGAUUAGAGACCCCGGUAAUCCUAGCCGUAAACGAUGUGAACUUGGCGUUGGUGGGUUAAACUCCAUCAGUGCCGUAGCAAACGCGAUAAGUUCACCGCCUGGGGACUACGGCCGCAAGGUUAAAACUCAAAGGAAUUGACGGA
rnacentral:rRNA from 1 species